rnacentral:rRNA from 1 species
GAUGAACGCUAGCGGCAGGCCUAACACAUGCAAGUCGAGGGGUAGAGUUAGCUUGCUAACUUGAGACCGGCGCACGGGUGCGUAACGCGUAUGCAAUCUACCUUAUACAGGGGAAUAGCCCAGAGAAAUUUGGAUUAAUGCCCCAUAGUAUUAUUGAAUGGCAUCAUUUGAUAAUUAAAGUUCCAACGGUAUAAGAUGAGCAUGCGUCCCAUUAGUUAGUUGGUAAGGUAACGGCUUACCAAGACUAUGAUGGGUAGGGGUCCUGAGAGGGAGAUCCCCCACACUGGUACUGAGACACGGACCAGACUCCUACGGGAGGCAGCAGUGAGGAAUAUUGGACAAUGGGCGCAAGCCUGAUCCAGCCAUGCCGCGUGCAGGAAGACGGUCCUAUGGAUUGUAAACUGCUUUUAUACAGGAAGAAACACCUCUACGUGUAGAGGCUUGACGGUACUGUAAGAAUAAGGAUCGGCUAACUCCGUG